UACGUAGGGUGCAAGCGUUAAUCGGAAUUACUGGGCGUAAAGCGUGCGCAGGCGGUUUGUAAGUUUGUCGUGAAAUCCCCGGGCUCAACCUGGGAAUGGCGAUGAAGACUGCAAGGCUAGAAUCUGGCAGAGGGGGUGAGAAUUCCACGUGUAGCAGUGAAAUGCGUAGAGAUGUGGAGGAACACCGAUGGCGAAGGCAGCCCCUGGGUCAAGAUUGACGCUCAUGCACGAAAGGCGUGGG
rnacentral:rRNA from 1 species